CUGCCCCCUCAGAAAGCGACAUAAUUUCAUCAAAACGCCGCCAGCGCCCGCAGGAAACUACAGCAAAAGGCGCACAGAUGAAGUUGCAGCCUCCACUUGGCAAGGGGUUCCCGCCUCUGCGGAAUGCCAGAGUGCGCAUGCGCACUCCAGAAAGCACACCUGCGCGCGGGCCCCACGGGCCACUGCCUGCCAGCUCCUCUGCUCCUGGACCUGAGAGGGGGCUGGAGAGCUUGCGCAAGCGCAGCACACACACUGGGUUCCAGUGGCUCUGCAGGGCGUUGUGCAAGCCUGUCUCCAUGGAGCCCCAGUUCAGCGGUUCUGCAGGGUGCUGUGCAAGCAUUUCUCUGUGGAGCUGGGUUCCAGUGCAAGCAUGUCUCUGUGGAGCUGGGGUCCAGUGGCUGUGCAGAUAUGGUGCUGGAGAAAGAUCUUAUCUGUCAUAUUUUCCCAAUAGAUUUACCAUGAAAGAAAAAAAUAAUAUAAGCUUGAAAGAAUCCCUUCUAAAGAAUAAUGAAACACUAGAUAUGGAAGGCAAUAAAAUGAUUUUUUGA
rnacentral:lncRNA from 1 species